rnacentral:rRNA from 1 species
UCUGGGCUACACGCGGGCUACAAUGGGUGGGACAAUGGGUAUCGACACCGAAAGGUGAAGGCAAUCCUCCUAAACCCAUCCGUAGUUCGGAUUGUGGGCUGCAACUCGCCCACAUGAAGCUGGAAUCUGUAGUAAUCGUGUCUCAAAAUGGCACGGUGAAUAUGUCCCUGCUCCUU